rnacentral:rRNA from 1 species
AGCUCAAAUUUGAAAUCUGGCUCUCGGGCCCGAGUUGUAAUUUGUAGAGGAUACUUUUGAUGCGGUGCCUUCCGAGUUCCCUGGAACGGGACGCCAUAGAGGGUGAGAAUCCCGUAUGUGACUGGAUACCUAUGCUCAUGUGAAGCUCUUUC